rnacentral:rRNA from 1 species
AUAGUGCNNAGUAGAGUGAUCGAAAGAUGAAAANCACCUUGAAAANAGGGUUAAACAGUACGUGAAAUUGUUGAAAGGGAAGCGCUUGUGACCAGACUUGGGCGCGGCAAAUCAUCCGGGGUUCUCUCCGGUGCACUUCGCCGUGUUCAGGCCAGCAUCAGUUCGGCGCGGGGGAAAAAGGCUUCGGGAACGUGGCUGCUCCGGCAGUGUUAUAGCCCGUUGCAUAAUACCCUGCGCUGGACUGAGGACCGCGCAUCUGCAAGGAUGCUGGCGUAAUGGUCACCANCGACCCGUCUUGAAACACGGACCAAGGAGUCNUCUUCGUAUGCGAGUGUUCGGGUGUCAAACCCCCUACGCGUAAUGAAAGUG